ensembl:lncRNA
GUCUAUCAUCAGCCUCUGUUGCCUUCAUACCAAACUCCAAGGUGGUUUCCUCUGGUGUGUGAGUUGGUAUCUUGUUGGAAAGAAAGUAGGUGAACUGGGAGCAAGAUUGGGAUCUUCAACCGUUCCAGUCACCAAGUCUGCAGUGAUAGUGUGAGAAAACAAUCGGUCAAGACUGUCUAGAGGUCAAGGAAUGGCAGAAGUGAUUUCUGCUUCACUUUGGCAUAGAUGCUUAUUUCCUUGCUUGGUUCAGUUUUCCAUUGGGCACACAGUGGACACAACAUGCAAUCUGAGUUUCUUUUUGAAAAAGAAGUUGGAGCUAUGACAUAUUUUCCACUGAGAUAAGAGUAGUCCUCCGUGUAGUUCUUACCAGUGAAAUGCCUUAACUACAGUAUGAUGGAAACUACUCAGUGAAGACAUGGGAAGUUCCAUUUGCCAAAUGGGAUAUCAAAACAACAACGUGAAGUUACAACUGAAUGUAGUAUUUUCAUCAGGAGUGCUCCUUAAAAAAGCCAGGGAAACCCUCACUCAAGACAAACUGUGAUAAACGUGAUACAGAUUGUGUUUCUGAAGUACGUAGCUACAGGUGGAAUUUCAGAGGAUUAUACUUGACAUUUUUUUCAAAUGCAAAUUCAUUUUUGCAUGCACUGGGAAUAGCACACAUGCAGGAGUCUUCUCUCUGGUUAUGACUGCUCCGAAGAACAGAAAGCAUUAACUUUAAUAUUCCAAGAAGAGGAGGACUUAAGGAAACAAAAUGCAGACAAAUACCAUCAUCUUCCCUAUUCUGAAGAAAGACUGUGGUGUGGGUGCACAGCCAGCUCAGAGUGCUGAGGGGAGCUGCUGGUUAAUUGGAGCACCUUGGAAGAGAGAAAUAAUCGGUUUGGGAUCUUGUCUUCCUGUGGCAGUUGGAGAUGUGCACGAGGUUCUGUUUCCCGAGUGGGAUGGAUCCCAGGAAACAUCAUCAUGAUAGACAUCAACGUUGAAACAAAAAGACCACGAUAUUAGUGUAUGUAGAAUUUCGAAUACUGUACAGAGAAAAUAGAGGAGAAGGCACAUCAAGAAGACUGCAUGGCUUCUCAGCGCAAUGAUGCUGGAGACGGUCCUGAUGCAAUAAUGUGAUAAGACUUAUGAGAAAGACAUGCAGAAGAAAUGCAAUAGGGCAACACAUCCAAUACACCAGAAUGAAAUGGCCAGAAGAACACUCCACUAUCUCUCUCUGAUCAUGAACACCAAGGAGAACAGAAAGGAAUACAUAGUCACGUGCAAGAAGAGAAUGACUACAGGAAUUGAAAUGCUGGCAAUAUUACCAAAUUGCUGAGAGAGUGCGGCGGUAGUGCGGUGCCGGCGGUUC